rnacentral:rRNA from 1 species
CAUGUCGGGUGUCUUAGCAUGCAAGUCGAGCGGCAAGCGCAGCAAUGCGCCUAGAGCGGCGGACUGGUGAGUAACGCGUGGGUGAUCUACCUCGGGGUUGGGGAUAGCCAUUAGAAAUAGUGGGUAAUACCGAAUACGCUUCCAUGAUUACGGUUGUGGAAGGAAAGGCGCUACGGCGUCGACCUGAGAUGAGCCUGCGUCCCAUUAGCUAGUUGGCGGGGUAAUGGCCCACCAAGGCGAUGAUGGGUAGCCGGCCUGAGAGGGUGUACGGCCACACUGGGACUGAGAUACGGCCCAGACUCCUACGGGAGGCAGCAGCUAAGAAUAUUCCGCAAUGGACGAAAGUCUGACGGAGCGACGCCGCGUGGAUGAUGAAGGCCGGAAGGUUGUAAAAUCCUUUUGUCGGGGAAGAAUAAGCGUGGGAGGGAAUGCCCGCGUGAUGACAUGAACCGGCGAAUAAGCCCCGGCUAACUACGUGCCAGCAGCCGCGGUAACACGUAGGGGGCGAGCGUUGUUCGGAAUUACUGGGCGUAAAGGGCAUGUAGGCGGUUUUGUAAGCCUGACGUGAAAGGCUAUGGCUCAACCAUGGCACUGCGUUGGGAACUGCGAGACUUGAAUCACGGAGGGGGAACUGGAAUUCCAGGUGUAGGGGUGAAAUCUGUAGAUAUCUGGAAGAACACCAGUGGCGAAGGCGAGUUCCUGGCCGAUGAUUGACGCUGAGGUGCGAAAGUGUGGGGAUCAAACAGGAUUAGAGACCCUGGUAGUCCACACUGUCAACGAUGUGCACUAGGUGCUGGGGCGGACGCUUCAGUGCCGGAGC